CAGCAGCUCUGAGCAGUGAUUCCCCCUUUCUUCACAGAAGAAUGAAAGGAUCCCAACAAUCCGUGACUCUGUGUUUCUUUAACGUGCGGUGUUCCUGUUCAGGCUGGAGUGUCAGAGCGAGCGCUGCGGGGAGGGACGAGACGAGAUGGAAACAAGCUUUCAUCACAAGAGAGGAACUGGAGGUGUCGCUGUAAAGACAUAGUCAGAGGUCAGAGGGUCUACUGAUUUGAAUCAACCCAGUUUUACUCUGCCCCAGCGAUGUCACACUGGGAGGAGGAAAAGGAGGAAGAGGAGGGGAGGCCGAGCCGUGCCGGGCGGAGCGAGGAGGAGGAGUGAUUCAAGCUGUGUGGCGGGAGAACGAAUGGUGCGUGGCCGGCUGGGACCCUGCCCAUCUCUGCUGCUCCACGUGAGGCUGGAGCUCAUGUCAAACUCUGCUGACACUGUCUGGAGUCUGACUCACUAUUUCACACACGCAUGCAUGCACACACACACACACACACACACACACACACACACACACACACACACACGUCUAAAAAUAACUAAAUGAAACUUUCAAGGCUUUUGGGAAGUUUCAAACUGAGAUCGGUAUGUGGAAACAUGUCUAAUAAGCAUUAAUUGUAACUAACAUUUUAAACUAAUCAUUUAUAGGCUGUGUACAUAAAAAGAUUACAAUUAUAGAUCCAAAUUAGCUGCUUAUUAUUAAAUAAAAAAGUUUGACUUUUA